AGCACUAAGAGGGAGGUAAACUUCUUCUAAAGCUAAAUAUUACCAUGAGACCGAUAGCGAACAAGUACCGUGAGGGAAAGUUGAAAAGCACUCUGAAUAGAGAGUCAAAAAGUACGUGAAACCGUUUAAGGGUUUAAACCUGAUGAACCUAAAUAUCUGAAUGAGGAAAUUCAGCAUUAUUAUGUCAGAUGAUGGCAUAAUGGUGUGCACUUUUCUUCUAGUAAGACGUUGCGAUCCAUUAGAAAAUUUUGAAUCUGUAUAUAGGCCCGGGUAGGAGUUUAUGCAUUAAGCGAGUAACAUGACUUUGUUGUUAUGUGAAUGCGUGUAAACUACUUGGUGUUCUUACAGAUGUCUGAUGGUAUUUUGAAUGAAUGUCAUAUACAAUUUUCGAAUUGAUAUCUCUCGCAGAUAUAAUAUGUACAUUAUCAGCAACGUUUUAGAUUUAGGAUACCAUCAGGACCCGUCUUGAAACACGGAA
rnacentral:rRNA from 1 species